UAGAAAUUAAUGAUAAACUGAUACUGAAGUGUUUACCUGACCUAUAUUUGAUAGACAUCAAAGUAACUUUAAUGUCCAAAGCAUGGGGCAUUUUCAAAU
rfam:Calypte anna contig51923, whole genome shotgun sequence.